GCUCCUUUGGCUUAGUGGUUAGAGCGUCCUCUUCUGAUCCGGGAGGUCGUGGGUUCGAUCCCCAGUCGAGUCA